UACGAAGGGGGCUAGCGUUGCUCGGAAUCACUGGGCGUAAAGCGCACGUAGGCGGAUCUUUAAGUCAGGGGUGAAAUCCUGGAGCUCAACUCCAGAACUGCCUUUGAUACUGGAGAGCUUGAGUCCGGGAGAGGUGAGUGGAACUCCGAGUGUAGAGGUGAAAUUCGUAGAUAUUCGGAAGAACACCAGUGGCGAAGGCGGCUCACUGGCCCGGUACUGACGCUGAGGUGCGAAAGCGUGGGGAGCGAACAGG
rnacentral:rRNA from 1 species